rnacentral:rRNA from 1 species
UACAGAGGGGGCAAGCGUUGUUCGGAAUUACUGGGCGUAAAGGGCGCGUAGGCGGCCUUCUAAGUCGAACGUGAAAUCCCUGGGCUCAACCCAGGAACUGCGUCCGAUACUGGAAGGCUUGAAUCCGGGAGAGGGAUGCGGAAUUCCAGGUGUAGCGGUGAAGUGCGUAGAUAUCUGGAGGAACACCGGUGGCGAAGGCGGCAUCCUGGACCGGUAUUGACGCUGAGGCGCGAAAGCCAGGGGAGCAAACGGG